rnacentral:rRNA from 1 species
AUUGAACGCUGGCGGCAGGCCUAACACAUGCAAGUCGAACGAGUGGCGGACGGGUGAGUCAUGUCUGGGACACUGCCCGAUGGCGGGGGAUAACUACUGGAAACGGUAGCUAAUACCGCAUACCAUCGGCUUUGCCCAGAUGGGAUUAGCUAUUAGGUGGGGUAACGGCUCACCUAGGCGACGAUCCCUAGCUGGUCUGAGAGGAUGACCAGCCACACGGGAACUGAGACACGGUCCAGACUCCUACGGGAGGCAGCAGUGGGGAAUAUUGCACAAUGGGCGAAAGCCUGAUGCAGCCAUGCCGCGUGUAUGAAGAAGGCCUUCGGGUUGUAAAGUACUUUCAGUGAGGAGGCGUUACUCGCAGAAGAAGCACCGGCUAACUCCGUGCCAACAGCCGCGGUAAUUC